rnacentral:rRNA from 1 species
CUACGGGAGGCAGCAGUGGGGAAUUUUGGACAAUGGGGGAAACCCUGAUCCAGCCAUCCCGCGUGUGCGAUGAAGGCCUUCGGGUUGUAAAGCACUUUUGGCAGGAAAGAAACGUCGCGGGUUAAUACCCCGCGAAGCU